GUGCUUCCACAGGAUCGACCCAACCGGCGACAUCAGACCCAUCAGGUCUCCAUCCGUCCAGAAACAAAGGUGUGUAUGGAGCCACGGGACUCCUCAGAGCAGACCUGCAUAAAGAAAAGAAGAAACAUCAGCGCUCGGCUGGAUCGCUACCUAUUCUCUCGAUGCGACACAGCUUGCUUGAUGUCAUCUCGAAUGCGCUCCGCCUGUAAUACACAAACAGGCUGAUCUUGUCAGCUUGGAUCUCCAGGAUCACUUCAAUGCUGGCAAGCCGAUAAUAAUCCAGAUGUUUCAGAACUCGAAAAAGAGUUUCUUCAACAGUGUCCACACCGUCAUCUCCCAGAGAAACAUUAACCAGCCGCUAGAGUAAAACAAUCAGAGAAAAUCCACAUCCUAGGCUAAAUGCAUAAAUAUCAAACUGAAAAGGCAUUCACAUUUUACUUCUGCAAUCUGAUGUCCUUCUGAGUGAACCAGAAAAUCCGAACAUGCUGAGUAUAUCAAGGAAGUAAAUGGGGUCAUUUUUGACUUGAUGACUACCACACCACACCUGGACGCACCCUCAUCUCAUCUGACCGUAAAAGAUCAUAAAACGUGUUACUCUCCUCCACACACCCUAAUGACAAAAUCCAGUGUGAGGACAUCCAAAAUAGCAUGGCGUAGACUCAAGAUUCACCUCGAUCUCCAAGAUUAGUCAUGUAAUACAAUCUUGUAGUGGCUUGUUUGUAAAAAGUGCAUUUAUUAUGACAUUAGAACUGAACCAGGGUGGGCUCCUUUAUUUACCAACCAGAAAACCCCCAGAUCACCCCUAUAACCCACAAAGCAACAUCCUGAACAUACCUGAGCACCAUUUCUAUUUCCUACAGGAAAUGUAAACAUCUACAUUGUUAAGGUCAACUGCAUUAUGUGAUGAUGUCAUGGGGUACAGUUAAGGGCCAUUGUCCUGUGUUGAUGAUACUCACAGUAAGCAGAUACUGAGAUAUUGCCCCCAUCAGGACCACCGGCUGCCUCACACCUAUGGAAACUCUGAAAGAACAUCAUUACGUCAAAGAUCAAACAGAGAGAUGAUAAAAAUGUGUGUGACUGAGACUAUUUUUACACAUAAAUUGUUACAGAUUGAGUCAUUUUUACACCCUACCUGUCUCUCUCUCUCUCUCUCUCUCUCUCUCGCUCAACCUGUCUAGCUGCCUGCAGGCUGGAAUUCCUGAUGGUUAAAAUUUAGCAAAGUUACUACACAUCCACCUUGACUUUCACACUGAUGCUUGUUCAAAUAAUUUACCAGACUACAUAACAACCAUUGAGCCUACUGCAGAUAUCAAACAACAACUUGUAUUUUACAACUGUAUUGAGAACAAUAAACAGACCAAACUCA